UUGGCCUCAAAUCGGGUGAGACUACCCGCUGAACUUAAGCAUAUCAAUAAGCGGAGGAAAAGAAACUAACAAGGAUUCCCCUAGUAACUGCGAGUGAAGCGGGAAAAGCUCAAAUUUAAAAUCUGGCGGUUCUUUGCCGUCCGAGUUGUAAUUUAGAGAAGCGUCUUCCGCGUCGGACCGUGCACAAGUCUCCUGGAAUGGAGCGUCAUAGAGGGUGAGAAUCCCGUCUUUGGCACGGAUCCCUGGUGCUUCUGUGAUGCGCUCUCGAAGAGUCGAGUUGUUUGGGAAUGCAGCUCAAAAUGGGUGGUGAACUCCAUCUAAAGCUAAAUAU
rnacentral:rRNA from 1 species